rnacentral:rRNA from 1 species
ACUCCUACGGGAGGCAGCAGUGAGGAAUAUUGGUCAAUGGACGCAAGUCUGAACCAGCCAUGUCGCGUGCAGGAUGACUGCCCUAUGGGUUGUAAACUGCUUUUGUACGGGAAGAAAAAUAGCUACGUGUAGUUAUUUGCCGGUACCGUACGAAUAAGCAUCGGCUAACUCCGUGCCAGCAGCCGCGGUAAUACGGAGGAUGCGAGCGUUAUCCGGAUUUAUUGGGUUUAAAGGGUGCGUAGGCGGAAUGGUAAGUCAGUGGUGAAAUCCUGCAGCUCAACUGUAGUUGUGCCAUUGAUACUGUCAUUCUUGAGUACAGAUGAGGUAGGCGGAAUGAGUAGUGUAGCGGUGAAAUGCAUAGAUAUUACUCAGAACACCAAUUGCGAAGGCAGCUUACUAAACUGACACUGACGCUGAAGCACGAAAGCGUGGGUAUCAAACAGGAUUAGAUACCCUGGUAGUCCACGCCGUAAACGAUGAUUACUGGUUGUUUGCGAUACACAGCAAGCGACUGAGCGAAAGCAUUAAGUAAUCCACCUGGGGAGUACGUCGGCAACGAUGAAACUGAAAGGAAUUGACGG